rnacentral:lncRNA from 1 species
UUUUUUUUUUUUUUUUUUUUAACAGCCACACCUAUGGCACAUGAAAAUUCCUGAUCUAGGGGAGCCAAACUGGAGCUACAGUUGCAAGCCUACAUCACAGCCAUGGCAACACCAGAUCUGAGCUGCAUCUGUGAACUUUGCCACAGCUUAUGGCCAUGCCAGAUCUUUAACCUAUUGAGCAAGGACUGGGACUGAACUCACUUCCUCAUAGAAAUUAUGUUAGGUCCUUAAGCCACUGACCCAUACUGGGAACUCCUCUAGUAACAGUUUGAUCUAACAGAACACAGGAUGAAGAGGUAAAUGUCCUCAGAAAGGAACACUGACGACAACUUUAUUAAUCAGAGAUUGAAAACACAAAUAUUGAAAACUCAUGAUUUGUGCAUGCUAAAGCCACGUAUAUUUAAUGUAUUAGACAAAAUGUUCAUCAAAUGUUAGAUUUUACUAACAAGAGGACUUUUUACACAUCUGCUUUGCUUACCUGAUAUUCCCACAUAGCUAAUUACAUAAUUAAGGAUCAAGUUUCAUGCCUUUAAUAUAGAGAUAGUGCUUAUCAGGGUUGUUUUGAAAUUUAUGAUAAUGCCUAUAAAGUGCUAAAAUGAAAUUUAAAGUAUAUUGUAAGUUGUGAGCUCUUUUACUAAGUCAACAAUCUGUCAUUCUUUGUAAAAGCAAAGUACUCAAUUUAGGAAUUUGCUAAUUGUUCUUCCAAACUACAUCAUUAAUGCACGGCAUUUUAAGUAGUUCAAAUAGAUUAAAAAAAUAAUAUGCCUAAAGUGAUAAAAUGUAGCUACUUUCCCAUAUUCCAGAGAACAUCCUAGUUUCUAAAAAAUCAAAGUAAAGUUAUACAAUGAAAAUAGCUAGAUUUGUAAAAAGUACAUCAGUGCCCAGUAGUGAAUCAAAUUCUUUUGUUUUGCAGUAUUUGUAAGUGCAAUGUGUUGAGCAAUCACUUCUUAUACAAAGUGAUGAAAUGUGCAAACAAGAUUCUCUGCCCUGUACAAGUUAGAGACUGUGGCAUGACCAUUUGGCGUAACACUUUGGUUCUAAAGUUUGUCAACUUUUGGCUUGUAGGUGCAAUCUGAUCUCUAAAAUCUGCCAAUUUAAUCAAAUGCAUCCCCAUAUCUACUCAAAUUACCAGGAGCGGUAAUUUUAAUUAUUAAAAACUUAUUCCCUGCACCCAUUUGAAAAAUGUGAUGAAAGUUAUGUCUUCUCUGUAUACACACACGUACGCACACACAAUGUUGCAGGUUGCUUCAGGAAUUAGCCAUCCACAUAUUAGAGAGUAAGCACUCUUGAUACAGAAGCAGGUGUGUGCUUGUGCAUUCAGGAAGGGUAAAUGGUGAGUUUCAUCUAUGUAACAUUCAUCUUUAUAUAGCUUGUGACUAGCACAGUGGCUUGACAAGAUAGGCUCUCAAUAAAUGUUGGAUCAAUAGAAGAGCGAGUAAAAAAUAAGGUAUAAAGAAUAGGUCAAGGACAGCAGAGGAGUCUUGACUCUCUAUUUUACAAAAGAAUAAUCAAAUCCUCCCUUAAAAAUAUUUAUUCCCUACAAGAUAGGCAUUCUUUAAGCUGUAAUGAUACCCUCUUAACACUUCCACAUUACUCUAGGAGCUUGGAAGAGUUAACACAGUUUCACAUAGUGACUGAUUUACAGCAGGGAAAGAAAUUGUGUCUGGGAUGUAUGAAUCUCUAGAGAUCACAGGUUUUACUUGGCUGAGCUGAGUGAUGUGUCGAUUCUUGACUCAUUCACAGGUAACAUUCUUGUUUGCUGGGCAGUGACAUCACACAGCAAUUUAUUGCAAACCGCAGAGGACUAAACAUGCUCCCUGUCCACUAGGACUGUCUGACAGCUCCUGGCAUGUGGGCAAAAGAAGUCACUCACUAACUCACCAUCAUCUCUUUUAAGCAGGGACAUUUUCUGUGACAAUAUUUUAAACCACAUUUGUUGGUACACCUACCUAAUUUGUCUGUUGAUAGAAACUUACCCUGGAAUCUCUGUCAGCCCUACCAAUUCCCCUGACACCACUGAUAUUCCAAGGAAACCCCAAAUCUCCAGAGAAGAUGUAGUCAAGCUCUUGUUGACAAAUUUCUACUGUGUACAGCUAUGAACGUGAGGAGAAAACACAAAACAAAGAUGUCUCUGCAAAAUAGAAAAUUUUCCCAGAGACUGUCCACCAUGGAAGCAUCUCCUUCCACUCUUCACCCUUACUCUCAUUUCUCACACAAAAGUGCAUCCUGUUUCUAACCUACUCGAUUCAUGUAGCUAGCAGAAAUCACAAUGACAAACCAAGCAAAUGGAAAUAGAUGUAAAUAAGAAGGAAUUCUGUCCUGAUUACUUGAAUCACAGGUAUCAAUUCUGUGUAAGAGUAGCAAUAUUCCUUUCAUACCUUCAAAAUUUCAUAAGAAAGACUCCCAAAAGUCUAAUGGAUGUAAACAAGUUGAGAACUUCAGUGAUCUAAUGUUAAAACCACAAAAUCAACUUCUCCCUCUUGUUGCUUCCUUAUAUCCCCUUUUCCCUCUCGCUAUACUCAGAGUCAUUAAGUUUUCUCCAGGUAUUAAUAACUACCCACUUGAUGGUGUUUAAAAUCCAAUAGGAAUGGAAAUACUUGUCUUUUCCCCUCUCUGUGCCCUCCAAUCUCUAUCACUACUACCAGUUGCCAAACUACAAGAUGGCAUUAGGCUAAGAAAACAAACAAGUCAAAGGACUAUGUCAUUUCUUAGCAAUUGUCAUUUUCCCUUUCAUUUAAGAUACAAUUUAACAGCUGAAAGUGAAAAGUGAGAAGAAUGAGCAAUUUUUUUUAUGCAGGGCUCUGUAGCAACAUAACAAUAUUAGGCAGCUGCCUUGAGACACAGCAAGAUUAUUUAUUGCAAGAGGCAGUACAAAGACUAUUGGGGGAAAAAAAACAAAACCUGUGUGUUCUUCCAACUUCUCAGACUGUUAUGAUUUCAAUGUGAUAAUAUUCCCUUCCCUUAUAUGUACACACACACACAUUCUUGUUUGAUUCAAUACAUGAUUUUACUAUGUGGAAUUGCAUCUGGUAGCCCAGUUCACAGGGUCUAGAAGGUUAAUUUUAUAUUCUUUCAUUUGAAAACAGAAGUAAGAUCUGACUAAAAGUUCAAUAAUUAAGUGAUCUGAGCUACAUCAGAAAUCACAUUGCUAAUUUAAUUAUGACAGCGUUGAACCUCCUUGGGCUUGGAUGUCAACACCCAAGGCUGCAAAUGACUUUGGUUUGGGUCAGUCGCCAGAACAUAUAUCCUCAAGGUGCUCAUUUGGGUUUGUCAGCCUUUAUUCACUGGCGUCUUUGAUGACAAAAAAAAAAAAAAAAAAAAAAAAANUAACCCUGAUCAGGCUCUCAGUCUGUCUAUAAAGACAGAAGGGAUUCCAUCAAUAAAUCUCAUCAUACAUAAAUAUCUGAAGAUGUCCUAACAGGCCACCUGAAGAGAAAGUUCUGCAUUUCAAAGACAUGCUUCCUGAUUCUUUAAUUACAGAACUGAUGGUGAAGUCACAGAAGGCUUCUGUGUGAGCAAAAAGGAACUUAAGUAAAAAAGUAUGCUCCUGGUUAUAAAACAACAGUGAUUGCAGCUGUGCAAUCUAAACUUUGAGGAUAAAAAAGACACUUUAUAAAAGCACAGCCUCCUGGCUUCAUAUUCAGCAUGUCCAGAGAAACAAAUUUAAAAGAUAUUAGACCAUUCAAAGAUAUUCAGGGAAAGCAGGCUAUUCAGAAAAGACUUAACUAGAUUUUCACCCUGCUGGGGAUGAACAUUUACUUAUUAAAGAAAUAUACUAUAGUAAAUGAAUAUUAAAUAACAUUGUCAUGAGUAUUAAGUGUAUAGAAAGCAUUAAGUACAUAUUGGAAAGCGUGCGGAGAAAAGGCAACCCUCCAACACUCUAGGUGGGAUAUAAGUUGGUACAACCUCUAUGGAAACAGUACAGAGAUUCCUCAGAAAACUAAAAGUAGAAUUACCAUAUGAUCCACCAAUCAUACCCCUGGGCAUUUGUCUGGAAAAAACUAUAAUUCAAAAGUACAUAUGCACCCCUAUGUUCACAGCAGCAAUAUUCACAAUAGCCAAGACUUAGAAACAACCUAAAUGUUCAUCAACAUAUGAGAGGAUUAAGAAGAUGUGAUACAUAUAUACAAUGGAAUACUACUCAGCCAUAAAAAAACAAUGAAAUAAUGCCAUUCACAGCUACAUGGAUGGAACUAGAGAUUCUAAGUGAAGUCAGAAAGAUAUAGACAAAUAUUACAUGAUAUCACUUAUAUGCAGAAUCUAAAAUAUGAUACAAAUGAACCUAUCUACAAAAGAGAAAACAGACUCAUGGACAAGGAGAACAGAUUGUGGUUGCCAAUGGGUUUGUUCUAAAUGUAAUGUCCUCCACAUUCAUCCACGUUGUCACAUAGAGCAGGAUUUCCUCUUUUUUUAAGGCCGUGUAAUACUGCAUUGUAUGCUCAUAUGACACUUUCUCUAUCAGUUCAUCAAUCAGCAGACAUUUAGAUUGCUUCUAUAUCCUGGCUACUGCAAAUAAUUUUUGCAACAAACACUGGAGUGUUGACACUUCUUUGAGUCACUUUGUUGUACAUCAGAAAUGGGCACAAUGAUGUAAAUCAAUGUAAACACUUAAAUUAAAAAAAAAAAAACUUAAACGUACAGCAAUAAAGUUCAAUAUCCAGACCUUAGCAGCUCUAUAAAAAAAGAGAGUAGAUUAAUCCUAACCCACUGAGCAAGACCAGGGAUUGAACCCACAACCUCAUGGUUCCUAGUCGGAUUCAUUUCCACUGUGCCACAACGGGAACUCCUGAAAAUUCUAGAGUUAAUUAAGGCGAUAGAUAUACAAUUCUCUAUGUAUAUCUAUACUUAAAAAAAAAAAAACAUUGAAUGGUAUACCCUAAACAUGUGAGCUUUACAGUAUAUAAAUCAUAUCUCAAUAAAGCUUAUAAAGCUGUUUUUCAUUCACUAAAAAACCCAAACCUCAAAAAUUCGGUAUACAACAUGAAAGAAAAUUACAAUCUAAAAUUCACCAAAUUUGGAGUUCCCAUUGUGGCUCAGCAGUAACAAAAUCUGACUAGUAAGCAAGAGGAUGCAGGUUCAAUCCCCAGCCUAGCUCAGUGGUUAAGGAUUCAGCAUUGCCAUGAGCUGUGGUGUAGUUCACAGACACAGUUCAGAUCCUGCAUUGCUUUGGCUGUGGCAUAGGCUGGCAGCUAUAACUGCGAUUAGAUCCCUAUCCUGGAAACUUCCAUAUGCCACAGGUAUAGCCCUAAAAAACAAACAAAACAAACAGAACAAAAAUUCUCGAAAUUUGUCAGUCAUCUCUAUUGACUGACUAU